AUUGUGCCCAUCAGGGCAGGGCAAGGCAGCAGUGGCGAGAUCAGGGAGCUUUGCAGCCAUGGCCCCAUGGAUGUAUACAAACCUGUGGGGCCACCACUGCCAACCUGAAGUUCCCUCAACCUUGCUACUACUUCACCCCAUGCCAGUGCAUGCAGUCCUGACAAUUAAAAACAAGUUGAGGUGUGCUGGCAGCCAUUCGUGGAGCAUCAACAAAACAGAAGAAGCCAGGAUUGGGAGCAUGUUGUUUGUUUGCGUUAGCUACUUUUACCCCAGGAUUAGAGUUUCCUGUUAGGAUCGAUGCCAGCAAUGAAUGGCAGCCGGCUGUAACAAGCCACACCCUCCCAAAUUAAAGUUCUGCAAAUGUGGGAGAGAAACUCGUUGGCUUGAAAUGAAGAAUUAGCCCUACUCAAGCAUUGACCUGAAAGCAGGUAUGUUCCACAGCGUGUCAUUGUUGCAAUAAUAGUGCAUUUGCAGUAGAUUUAUAUUGUUGUUGUUUUUUGUAUAUAUUUUUUAUUUAUUUUCCAUAUAAUAAUAUACAUUCACAUCAUUUUUAUCCACUUUACCUCCCUGGCUCUUUAGAGCCUAUUGACUUCCUUCCCUUCCCUCCUCAUGGCUUUCAAAAUUAACCUUUAUACCAUUGCAUUUUGUACCCUUUCUAAUUCCAAUGACACUCAUUACAAAAUAGCUCAAAAUUUGAAUAAAUAUAGAAAGGUAGAAAACUUCUCAUUACAAAUCUUCAGAUAACCUUGCUAGUGAUGUUAAUUGCUUACAAUAGUCUUUCAGAUAUCAUAUGAAUUUACUCCAGUCCUUUUGGAAUACUUGAUCAUGCUGGUUUUGGAUUUUUCCUGUCAGCUUCACCAGUUCUGCAAAGUCCAUCAUCUUCAUCUGCCACUCUUCUUUCAUUGGUAGUUCUUGUUGUUUCCAUUUUGGGGCUAAAAGAAUUCUUGCCGCAGUUGUUGCAUACAUACCGUAUUUUUUGCUCUAUAAGACUCACUUUUUCCCUCCUAAAAAGUAAGGGGAAAUGUGUGUGCGUCUUAUGGAGCGAAUGCAGGCUGCGCAGCUAUCACAGAAGCCAGAACAGCAAGAGGGAUUGCUGCUUUCACUGCGCAGCGAUCCCUCUUGCUGUUCUGGCUUCUGAGAUUCAGAAUAUUUUUUCUUGUUUUCUUCCUCCAACAACUAGGUACGUCUUAUGGUCUAGUGCGUCUUAUAGAGCGAAAAAUACGGUAAACAGUCUUUUAUCUUCCCUUGGUAUCUCUUCACCAACAAUACCCAAUAAAAAGGCUUCUGGUUUUUAACAAAAGUGUUUUUAAAUAUUUUCUUUAACUCAUUAUAUACAUCAUCCCAGUUCAUUAGUUGUUACAACAUUAUUGCUGUCUGGAGGAGCAAAACAUAAACCGGAAUGUUUGUGGUAUAAAAUGUGACAGGAUUUCAGAAGGACUCUUUGAGAACAUGCAAUGAUUGACAGUGGAGCAACAAGUCUGCAUACAUGAUGAUUUGUGCUUAUAAUGGUAUAAUUCCUCGCGAUCUUGCUUUCAGCCCUGCCCCCACCCCACACAACAGCACUGAAAGCGAGAUGGUGUGUAACUUCCCUGAUAGCAUUAUAAGCACCACAAGCAUCAUAAAUGUGGAAUAAAAAGCACAUCUAGAGGCGCCACUAAGCGUGCUCAGCAGGACACAGGAAAAUCUACAGCAGAAGUUGUGUGUUUGCCUCCUUCUCUCCCCUUAGUUUGAGCCCACACACUUUCAUGUGAAUGUCUGAUUAGGGCUGUUGCGUUCCUGUUAUAUUUCAGGUAAUGCCAACUUGUUAAAUGCUAUCAAAAACAAAGCAUCCCCCUUUCAGAACUAUUCUUUUUAAAACUCUGGCUCUCUGCCUCCCCAGAAGAAUAUGUGAGUUUAGUGGGUGAAUAUGAUUCAUCAGUGUCUUUAAUUGGGCAUGAUAUUCUUGAAUCCUGCUUAUUACUGAUGAUUUCUUAGAUACUCUUUUUUUAUUUUAAAAACCCAACUGCACAGUUUUCUGAACUUUGCACAUUGCGCAAAGACGAGAAUAUAGUUCUACAUUUGCAAUGAUGAAAUGUGGUUUUGUGAUGUGGGGAAAGGACAAUAAUUGCUUAUUGUGAGUUUCUCCCAUGUUUUGUCCCCAGGGACCUCGAUGAAAUGCUGUAUCUCGCUGUUCUCUAAAUCUACAGAACUUUACCAUCUGGCUGCUUGGAAUGUCAUAGCGAGGGAUCUAACAUCUCUGAGUACACAGUCCUCUUUUUCUGGUUGUGGAGAUCGUUAGCUCCUCUGACAGUCCUGGGCUUCCUAGCAGGAAAGCAAUUAAAGCAGCUGAGCACAGGGUAAAGGCAGCUCCAUUGGCACCAG
rnacentral:lncRNA from 1 species